rnacentral:snRNA from 1 species
AACUUUGCGCAGUGGCAGUAUCAUUGCCAAUGAGGUUUAUCCAAGGCGUGAUUAUUGCUAAUUGAAAGCAUUUGAACUUCAUGAAAAAUGUAUGCAUAGAUGUGAUUAUU